rnacentral:rRNA from 1 species
UAGGGAAUUUUGCGCAAUGGACGAAAGUCUGACGCAGCAACGCCGCGUGAGUGAUGAAGGUUCUCGGAUUGUAAAGCUCUGUUGGGUGGGAAGAAAAGUUGCGGGAAUAAUACGUCCGUAGCUUGACGGUACCGCCUGAGGAAGCCCCGGCUAACUACGUGCCAGCAGCCGCGGUAAUACGUAGGGGGCAAGCGUUGUUCGGAAUCACUGGGCGUAAAGGGAGCGUAGGCGGGAUCGUAAGUUAGAAGUAUAAUCCACGGGCUUAACCCGUGACCUGCUUUUAAUACUGCGGUUCUUGAGUUUGGAAGAGGGAGAUGGAAUUCCAGGUGUAGCGGUGGAAUGCGUAGAUAUCUGGAAGAACACCAGCAGCGAAGGCGGUCUCCUGGUCCUAUACUGACGCUGAGGCUCGAAAGCUAGGGGAGCAAACAGG